UCCAAAUAAUGCGUAUGUUCUUCAUUUCGUGUUUGUUUUUAAUACGUAACAGUUGAUAUAAAAGGAGUCGCAUUUACGGGCGCAGGAAAUCACGGAAACGGCUUAAACAUUAAACUUAUUUCCGAUAGUUCAGUUAUAAAAUAGCUAUAGCAUAAAGUUAUAUACUUAAAACUUAUAUACUUAAAAGAAAAAAGUGUAUGUGGAAAAUUUGGAGUCAAAAGGUUGGAGAUGUGUACUUUACUGAGUUGAAAAAAUGUGAUGACAUUAUGAAUAUCAUCUGCAAAACUACAUAUAAGAAGAACAUCAGGCAAAGCUUAAGAAUAUAUAUCAAUAUAGAUAAAAAAUAUAUAUAGUUUAUAUUUUGGUAUAACUAUGGAAGGGUAUAAAAACGCGGAAAAAUUUAUUUCUUAAAAAAUUCUGCACGGAAUGUCUGAUUGAGAUGGCAAAGUGCAAAACUUUUGGAUUGCCAAGAAAACAGACAGUGAUGAAAUAGUCUCUGAAAUGCGACGGUCAAAAAUACUGAAAGCCAUGUACAUAUGUAUGUAGGAAACAAAAAAAAACCUCCUCCUAACUUUCGGUUCUAUUUAUUUAAAUUAACUAAAAGUUAAAAGGAUAUACUUUAUAUUUUCUUGUUUAUUGCAUACAUAAAUGCAUAGGCCCCACCAAAACAAUAUUGCCCAUCAAAUAUAGACACAUGGCAGCACAGCCCUGUAUACACACAGGUGGCAGCACAAAAUUGGUAGCUCCACUUAUAGGCCAAUAACUGGAGUUAAUGGAUUAUGGCAGAUAUAAGGUCUAUAUCGGGAGUUGCGUCAUCUCAUGGGUUAAAACUGUUCAGACGUUUGCUGUUGAAUAAAGUGAAAUAGACAUUUUAAAAAUAUUUUCAACGAAGUAAAGAGUGUUCAUUUUUUUUCGAAAAGCAUGUCAAUUAUUUAACGUAAAUUAAGAAUUUCUAAGAAACAAAUAGUGCAAACAGAAAAACAGAGGGAUAGGCUGACUUCAACGAGAUGUCUAUUUGGGAUAGUUAAACUACCAAUUAAGACGUAUAUAGGAGUAGAAUGCGAUUGAAGAAAUAUAAAUGCAUUAAUUUAUUAUUAUUAUUAAAAAAUUUUCAAAUUAAAAUGCCAUAAUUUAUUGUUAAAUGCUUGUACAUUUUUAAUAUUGUUUUCCGAGUUGACCAACAAACAAAAAUAUUUAAAAAGGUUUUUCAAUGUAAUUGUUAUAAAAAUGUUCAUAAAAGUAAAAUAAAUCACAUUUUUAAAUAAAAAAUAAACUAUAUUGCUGAAUAAAAAAAACAUUAAAAAAAAUUAAGUAAGUAGAGAAACAAAAUAGAUAUAUUUUCUA